rnacentral:rRNA from 1 species
UUCCGUAGGUGAACCUGCGGAAGGAUCAUUACCUAGAGUUUGUGGGCUUUGCCCGCUACCUCUUACCCAUGUCUUUUGAGUACUUACGUUUCCUCGGCGGGUCCGCCCGCCGAUUGGACAAAAUCAAACCCUUUGCAGUUGCAAUCAGCGUCUGAAAAACAUAAUAGUUACAACUUUCAACAACGGAUCUCUUGGUUCUGGCAUCGAUGAAGAACGCAGCGAAAUGCGAUAAGUAGUGUGAAUUGCAGAAUUCAGUGAAUCAUCGAAUCUUUGAACGCACAUUGCGCCCCUUGGUAUUCCAUGGGGCAUGCCUGUUCGAGCGUCAUUUGUACCUUCAAGCUUUGCUUGGUGUUGGGUGUUUGUCUCGCCUCUGCGUGUAGACUCGCCUUAAAACAAUUGGCAGCCGGCGUAUUGAUUUCGGAGCGCAGUACAUCUCGCGCUUUGCACUCAUAACGACGACGUCCAAAAGUACAUUUUUACACUCUUGACCUCGGAUCAGGUAGGGAUACCCGCUGAACUUAAGCAUAUCAAUAAGCGGAGGAAUUU